UUCGACUAAGCCAUGCGAGUCGAGAGGGUUCGGCCCUCGGCAGACGGCUCAGUAACACGUGGAUAAUCUGCCCUUAGGUGGAGGAUAAUCUCGGGAAACUGAGAAUAAUACUCCAUAGAUCUAGGAUGCUGGAAUGCACUUAGAUUGAAAGUUCCGACGCCUAUGGAUGAGUCUGCGGACUAUCAGGUAGUAGUCAGGGUAAAGACCUGACUAGCCUACAACGGAUACGGGUUGUGAGAGCAAUAACCCGGAGACGAUAUCUGAGACACGAUAUCGGGCCCUACGGGGCGCAGCAGGCGCGAAACCUUCACAAUGUGCGAAAGCACGAUGAGGGAAUCCCAAGUGCUUGCUCGUAAGAGUAAGCUGUUUUUAUGUCUAAAAAGCAUAGAGAGUAAGGGCUGGGUAAGACGGGUGCCAGCCGCCGCGGUAAUACCUGCAGCUCAAGUGGUGACCGCUAUUAUUGGGCCUAAAACGUUCGUAGCCGGUUUGGUAAAUGCCUGGGUAAAUCGAGUAGCUUAACUAUACGAAUUCCGGGUAGACUGCCAAACUUGAGACCGGGAGAAGCUAGAGGUACUCCUGGGGUAGAGGUGAAAUUCUGUAAUCCUGGGGGGACCACCAGUGGCGAAGGCGUCAGACUGGAACGUGCCUGACGGUGAGGGACGAAAGCCAGGGGAGCGAACCGGAUUAGAUACCCGGGUAGUCC
rnacentral:rRNA from 1 species